rnacentral:lncRNA from 1 species
AGGAUCUCAAGCUUUGUCGGACUUCAGGAAAGACACCUUGCACUCAACAGGAAUGCAGCAAGUCCUGAACAUUCCGCUGGAAUUGGAGGGAUAAGGAGGAAUGAACAUGAAGCGGAGCGACCCCAUAUGGGCAGGACCACCACGGUAUCCUGGUAUCAAGGAACAAACAGGAAAAACUCCUGAUGAGAAAUAAGCCAGACAACAGGAUACAAAGGGGGAAAGACAGCAUGCUGUAUGCAAUAUCUGAACCACAGAGGGAAUCAUAAAUAGAACUUAAAUGUUUUUCUUUUGAUGGCAUCUUCUGGAGACAUUUGGAAAGAGUCAAGAACAGAGCACUGGAAUGCCGACAGACUGAUAGCUGCGCUCUUAUAAAAGAGUGUACUGUCUUUCUGGUGUGUAAUAUCUAUCUUUGAGAACUUGAUUAAAGAGAGCCCACCCUUCAGAGUCAGCACACUAACAAAAUGAUGUUUGUCACCAGUUCCUGGACUGUGUGUACACACAUGUGGAACCUGGAUGUAAUGGCUGAGAUCUGUCAUUUGCAGUAGCGCACGGAUCACCCUGGAAUAAAUUAAUGGCAUUUGCUUUCAACACCCAUGUCUACAAAUCUGCAAGUGAGAAGGAAAUGUGUGAAACUUCAAACCCAGACAUGGCUGC